rnacentral:lncRNA from 1 species
UUACAUGGACUUUUAUUUCUGAUAAGCAAAAGGGUCUACUUCCAGCUUUUGAUGAGGUACUUCCAGAUGUUGCACACAGGUUUUGCCCGAACAACAACAACUAACCAGUAAUUCCCACAACGUGGGUCUGAGAAGGGUAAUAUGUAUGCAUACCUUACUCCUACCCCGGUAGGGCAGAGAUGCGAGGCACCUACACAACAACAACAACAACAACUAACCACUAAAUUUCCACGUGUGGUCUGGGGAGGGUAAUACGUACGCAUACCUUACUCCUACCCUGAUAGUGUAGAGAGUUUUGGGAGAAUUGUUUAAUUCUCGUAUUGCUCACAAAAGUAUAUAUAGAGUACAAGGAAAUCUAAUCCUACCAAUUAUAGGAGUAUACAAAAUCUAAUCCUACCAACUAUAGGACUGUACAAAAUCUAAUCAUACCAACUAUAGGACUGUACAAAAUCAAAUCCUACCAACUAUAGUACUAUACAAUAAUGAGAGAAUAUUCUACCAAUAAUAAAAAGAUACACAAAUUAUAUUCUAAUACGCCGCCUCAAGAUGGAGGGCCGGAGGACACGCCAAUCUUGGACACAGCAGAAGAAGCCAAGGACGUGAUAAGUGCUUUGUGAGAGCAUCAGCAAGCUGAUCAGCAGUGUCGUAU